UUUAGGAUCAAGAACUUUUUAAGUUUAUUUUACACAUAAUCAGAGUAGUAGUUGAAGACAAUAUAAAGAGUAUUCCUCCAUUCCAUAAGAUAUGGAAUCUUGACAUUGAAGGAUUAGAACUUAAACCAUCAGUGUCUUCUAAUAAAGAUACCGACAAAGACAUCUUUUACAUAAAGCCAUCUAGUAUAAUUGAAAUGCAGCUUUCAAAGAAAAACACAGCAAUACAGUUACAAAGAUUUCCCAGACAAAGCAACUUUUUUGAAGGGCA